CCCCUGUGAACGUACCUCUUGUUGCCUCGGCAGGCCUCGCCUACCCUGUAGCGCCCCUACUCUGUAGGGCCUACCCGGGGAGUGCGGGGGUCCCUGCCGGCGGCCCGCAAAACUCUGUUUAGCACUGAAUUUCUGAAUAUAUAACUAAAUAAGUUAAAACUUUCAACAACGGAUCUCUUGGUUCUGGCAUCGAUGAAGAACGCAGCGAAAUGCGAUAAGUAAUGUGAAUUGCAGAAUUCAGUGAAUCAUCGAAUCUUUGAACGCACAUUGCGCCCAUUAGUAUUCUAGUGGGCAUGCCUGUUCGAGCGUCAUUUCAACCCUUAAGCCCCUGUUGCUUAGCGUUGGGAGCCUACGGCAGCGUAGCUCCCCAAAGUUAGUGGCGUGGUCGGUUCACACUCCAGACGUAGUAGAUUUUCACCUCGCCUGUAGUCGGACCGGUCCCCUGCCGUAAAACACCCCAAUUUUAAAGGUUGACCUCGGAUCAG
rnacentral:rRNA from 1 species